rnacentral:tRNA from 1 species
GCGGGGUGGAGCAGUGGCAGCUCGUUGAGCCAUAACCCAAAGGCCGCAGGUUCUGAAUCCUGCCCCCGCUA